GAUGAAGAACGCAGCGAAAUGCGAUAAGUAAUGUGAAUUGCAGAAUUCAGUGAAUCAUCGAAUCUUUGAACGCACCUUGCGCUCUUUGGUAUUCCGAAGAGCAUGCCUGUUUGAGUGUCAUGAAAAUAUCAACCUUGACUUGGGUUUUGUGCUCUAGUCUCGGCUUGGAAUUGGGUGCUUGCCGCUUUUACGAGCGGCUCACCUUAAAUGUAUUAGCUGGAUCUGUCUUUGAGACUUGGUUUGACUUGGCGUAAUAAGUAUUUCGCUAAGGACAUUCUUCGGAGUGGCCUCGUUUCUAGGACGCUUGUCCGCUUUCCAAUACAAGUUCCACCUCGUGGACAUGACUUUUUAUUAUCUGGCCUCAAAUCAGGUAGGACUACCCGCUGAACUUAAGCAUAUCACUAAGCGGAGGA
rnacentral:misc_RNA from 1 species